CCUACUGGCCACACCCUGAACUGAGAGUGCUCUGCCUUGCUGGAAGCUACUCCUGGUGCCCACCACAGAGGAUGCUCAGCCAAGAACAGAAGUCUCCUGGUCAUUCUAACUGCAGGCUGCCUCACUUUCAGAAAAGCAGAUUGGGAGCAAUGUGCUCUGAGCCAGCCACACACCCACUGAUGGAGCUGCUCCUACCUUGGCAGGUGGAGCAUCCAAGGCUCUUUGCCAUGGGCAGGCUGAGCCAGAACACCAUGAUCCUGUAACUUUUUGUGGACACUGACAUUUAUAAACAAACCUGAAUUGGUUGAGUUA